CCUACGGGGUGCAGCAGUGAGGAAUAUUGGUCAAUGGGCGGGAGCCUGAACCAGCCAAGUCGCGUGAGGGAAGACGGUCCUAUGGAUUGUAAACCUCUUUAGGCGGGAGCAAUGCCGUGCACCCGUGCCCGGAGGGAGAGUUCCCGCAGAAUCAGCAUCGGCUAACUCCGUGCCCGCAGCCGCGGUAAUACGGAGGAUGCGAGCGUUAUCCGGAUUUAUUGGGUUUAAAGGGUGCGUAGGCGGAAUUUUAAGUCAGCGGGAAAAGUUCCGGGCUCAACCCGGGCCGGCCGUUGAAACUGGGGAUCUUGAGUGGGCGAGAAGUAUGCGGAAUGCGUGGGGUAGCGGGGAAAUGCAUAGAUAUCACGCAGAACUCCGAUUGCGAAGGCAGCAGACCGGCGCCCGACUGACGCUGAGGCACGAAAGCGUGGGGAUCGAACAGGAUUAGAUACCCGAGUAGUC
rnacentral:rRNA from 1 species